rnacentral:rRNA from 1 species
GAUGAACGCUGGCGGCGUGCCUAAUACAUGCCAGUCGAGCGAACAGACGAGGAGCUUGCUCCUCUGACGUUAGCGGCGGACGGGUGAGUAACACGUGGAUAACCUACCUAUAAGACUGGGAUAACUUCGGGAAACCGGAGCUAAUACCGGAUAAUAUAUUGAACCGCAUGGUUCAAUAGUGAAAGACGGUUUUGCUGUCACUUAUAGAUGGAUCCGCGCCGCAUUAGCUAGUUGGUAAGGUAACGGCUUACCAAGGCGACGAUGCGUAGCCGACCUGAGAGGGUGAUCGGCCACACUGGAACUGAGACACGGUCCAGACUCCUACGGGAGGCAGCAGUAGGGAAUCUUCCGCAAUGGGCGAAAGCUUGACGGAGCAACGCCGCGUGAGUGAUGAGGGUCUUCGGAUCGUAAAACUCUGUUAUUAGGGAAGAACAAAUGUGUAAGUAACUAUGCACGUCUUGACGGUACCUAAUCAGAAAGCCACGGCUAACUACGUG